CCUACGGGCGGCAGCAGUGAGGAAUAUUGGUCAAUGGCCGGAAGGCUGAACCAGCCAAGCCGCGUGAAGGACGAAGGUGCCAAGCAUUGUAAACUUCUUUUGUCAAGGGACAAAAUCAGGCUCGAGAGCCUGACCGAGGGUACUUGAAGAAAAAGCAUCGGCUAACUCCGUGCCAGCAGCCGCGGUAAUACGGAGGAUGCGAGCGUUAUCCGGAUUUAUUGGGUUUAAAGGGUGCGUAGGCGGGCUGUUAAGUCAGCGGUAAAAGGCCGGGGCUCAACCCCGGCGAGCCGUUGAAACUGGGUGUCUUGAGAUGUCGAGAGGUAUGCGGAAUGCGCAGUGUAGCGGUGAAAUGCUUAGAUAUUGCGCAGAACUCCGAUUGCGAAGGCAGCAUACCGGCGGCGAGCUGACGCUGAGGCACGAAAGCGUGGGUAUCGAACAGGAUUAGAUACCCGAGUAGUC
rnacentral:rRNA from 1 species